AUUGAACGCUGGCGGCAGGCCUAACACAUGCAAGUCGAACGAGUGGCGGACGGGUGAGUAAUGUCUGGGAAACUGCCUGAUGGAGGGGGAUAAAUACUGGAAACGGUAGCUAAUACCGCAUACCAUCGGAUGUGCCCAGAUGGGAUUAGCUAGUAGGUGGGGUAAAGGCUCACCUAGGCCACGAUCCCUAGCUGGGCGGAGAGGCGGACAGUCCACACGGGAACUGGGACAGGGUCCAGACUCCUGCGGGAGGGAGCAGUGGUGAAUAUUGCACAAUGGGCGGAAACCUGAUGCAGCCAUGCCGCGUGUAUGAAGAAGGCCUUCGGGUUGUAAUGUACUUUCAGCGGGGAGGCGUUACCCGCAGAAGAAGCACCGGCUAACUCCGUGCCAGCAGCCGCGGUAAUUC
rnacentral:rRNA from 1 species